CCUACGGGCGGCAGCAGUGGGGAAUAUUGGACAAUGGGGGCAACCCUGAUCCAGCCAUGCCGCGUGUGUGAAGAAGGCCCUCGGGUUGUAAAGCACUUUCAGUGAGGAAGAACGCCUGGUGGUUAAUACCCAUCAGGAAAGACAUCACUCACAGAAGAAGCACCGGCUAACUCCGUGCCAGCAGCCGCGGUAAUACGGAGGGUGCGAGCGUUAAUCGGAAUUACUGGGCGUAAAGCGCGCGUAGGUGGCUUGAUAAGCCGGUUGUGAAAGCCCCGGGCUCAACCUGGGAACGGCAUCCGGAACUGUCAAGCUAGAGUGCAGGAGAGGAAGGUAGAAGUCCCGGUGUAGCGGUGAAAUGCGUAGAGAUCGGGAGGAAUAGCAGUGGCGAAGGCGGCCUUCUGGACUGACACUGACACUGAGGUGCGAAAGCGUGGGUAGCAAACAGGCUUAGAUACCCUAGUAGUC
rnacentral:rRNA from 1 species